rnacentral:tRNA from 1 species
GGCCCUGUAGCUCAAUGGUUAGAGCAGAGGACUCAUAAUCCUUUGGUUGCCGGUUCGAAUCCGGCCGGGGCUA